GAUGAACGCUGGCGGCGUGCUUAACACAUGCAAGUCGAGCGAAGCACUUGCCAUUGACUCUUCGGAAGAUUUGGCAUUUGACUGAGCGGGCGUACGGGCAAGGUACGCCGUAGGUAACCGUGCCUCAUACAGGGGGAUAACAGUUAGAAAUGGCUGCUAAUGCCGCAUAAGCGCACAGGACCGCAUGGUCUGGUGUGAAAAACUGAGGUGGUAUGAGAUCGGGCCCGCGUCUGGAUUAGGGUAGUUGGCGGGGUAACGGCCCACCAAGCCGACGAUCAGUAGCCGACCCUGAGAGGGUCGACCGGCCACAGUUGGGACUGAAGGACACGGCCCAG
rnacentral:rRNA from 1 species